UGCAUGGUUGUCGUCAGCUCGUGUCGUGAGAUGUUGGGGUUAAAGUCCCGCAACGAGCGCAACCCCUACGUUUAAGUUGCUAACGCGUGAAGGCGAGCACUCUAGACGAACUGCGUUGACAAAACGGAGGAAGGUGGGGAUGACGUCAAAUCAUCAUGCCCCUUAUGUUCUGGGCUACACAACGUGCUACAAUGGCCGGUACAGGCGGACGCAAAGCCGCGAGGUGGAGCAAAAUCCUAAAAAAGCCGGUCUCAGUUCGGAUUGCAGGCUGCAAUUCGCCUGCAUGAAGUCGGAAUCGCUAGUAAUCGCGGAUCAGCAUGCCGCGGUGAAUACGUUCCCGGGCCUU
rnacentral:rRNA from 1 species